AAGCAGGGGAAGGUGAAAGAAACAAAGUGUGUCUAUUCCUCUUAAUUGUAAGCAGAACAAAUUGUUACUUAAAAACUCAGUUCUUCGUACAAAAAUAAGUAUGUGCCAUAGACUAAAUGUCCAAAUGCACGUUAGACUAAAUGUACAAAUGCACGUAUAAAAGUAUGUCAAUAAGAAAAAAUUCUGCGUGUAUAUAUAAUUUCCAGCUAUCGAAAUAUGGAAACUUAUGCUUAAGUUUACAAAAGUACAAAUUUUUUGUUAAGCAUGAUGAAGUUUGUACUAGCAAUACUUCAGAGAUUCUAUGGAGUAAUUUAAAUAAUAAUUACAUGACUUCUAGUUACACAUCUGCAACCGUAAGGAACAAUUUCCCUGUCGGGCAGUAUCCCACAAAAAGUUUGGACUGUAGAAUUCUUGAAGAACCAAUUCAAGUCACUCAAAAAGCUGCAUAGUUUCAUCAAUGCCCAAUACAUCAAUCUCUUAGGCUUACAACAUGGGUUGCAGUAGGGAGUAAGGGGGAAAACAGCAUGAGAAAUAGACAAGUGAUGAAAUUAAAAAAAAAAAAAAAGUGUUUGGCUAUGGAGGAAACAGAAAAUGUGGUGGAGACCAAGACUAAAUCUUACAGCAGAUUGUGCAAACAUGCCAGUUUUUUCCACAAUUGAUGGUUUAAUAUUUUUCUGUAUCAAUCAAACUUGAAGAUGCAAUUCCUAAUAGAAUACUUCCUCAUGCUCCACUGCACAAAUUUUAGACAAAACAUGCAAUCUCAUCUAGAAAGCAAUCAAGCAAUCUACUGCUUGGCCACAAAAUACUCAAAUACUACCACAUAUACAAAAACAUGAACCAAAUGAACAAGUUUGGCAGCAAAAUUAAACAGAUAAGAAAUGCCUAACAGUCCUCCUAAAAUGUUUCACUUCACUGACGAAACAGAUGGUUGGUCACAUAAGGAUGAUAGACAAUCAAAUGUUUUACCUGGGCAAUCACAAAUUCAUAGUUAGACUUGAAUUGGCUUCUCAGCUUACUCU
rnacentral:lncRNA from 1 species